rnacentral:rRNA from 1 species
GAAUGUAUGAGAAUACUACUUGGAUAACCGUAGUAAUUCUAGAGCUAAUACAUGCAACGACGCCCGACCGUUUCACUACGGAAGGGCUGUAUUUAUUGGAUACCAAAACCAUCCUUCCCUCGGGAAGUUUUGUUUGAUGAUUCACAAUAACUGAUCGGAUCGCCACUGUGGUGGCGACAGGUCAUUCAACAUUCUGCCCUAUCAGCUUUCGAUGGUUGUGUAGUGGACAACCAUGGCCAUAACGGGUAACGGAGAAUCAGGGUUCGAUUCCGGAGAAGGAGCUUGAGAAUUGGCUACUACAUCUAAGGAAGGCAGCAGGCGCGCAAAUUACCCAAUCCCGAUUCGGGGAGGUAGUGACAAAAAAUAACAAUACCGGGCCUUUUUGGGCUUGGUAAUUGGAAUGAGGGAGAGUUAAACGGACCAUCGAGUAUCCAUUGGAGGGCAAGUCUGGUGCCAGCAGCUGCGGUAAUACCAGCUCCAAUAGCGUAUAUUAAAGUUGUUGCAGUUAAAAAGCUCGUAGUUGGACUUGUGUGCGCUGUCCGCGGGUGGCCUGCGCCCAAAAGGGCGUUUCGGUUCGGCCCCGGUGGCGCCUUGAAAUCUGCAGCUGGGGGGACGUUGGCCUUAACUGGUCGGCGACCGCACGCCGGCUGCUCGGUUACUGUGAGAAAAUUAGAGUGUUCAAGGCAGGCAUUGGGUGCAAUUGAAUACAUUAGCAUGGAAUAAUAAAAUAUGGCUCCUGCCGUAUUUUGUUGGUUUUGACUGGUGGGAGUAAUGAUUGAUAGGGACGGUUGGGGGUGCUAGUAUUGAGCGGCCAGAGGUGAAAUUCAUGGAUUCGCUCGAGACUAACUUAUGCGAAAGCAUUCACCAAGGACGUCCUCUUUAAUCAAGAACGAAAGUUGGGGGAUCGAAGACGAUCAGAUACCGUCGUAGUCUCAACCAUAAACUAUGUCGACUUGGGAUCGGCGGUAGUUUUUUUCAUUAAGACACUGUCGGGACCACGGGAGAAAUCAAAGUGUCUGGACUCUGGGGGAAGUAUGGUCGCAAGGCUGAAACUUGAAGGAAUUGACGGAAGGGCACCACCAGGAGUGGAGCCUGCGGCUUAAUUUGACCCAACACGGGGAAACUUACCAGGUCCAGAGAUGUAGGGGAUUGACAGAUUGAAGCUCUUUCUUGAUCACUUCGGUGGUGGUGCAUGGCCGUUCUUAGUUGGUGGAGUGAUUUGUCUGGUUAAUUCCGUU